rnacentral:misc_RNA from 1 species
GGACAAACUUUUGUGGCAUUUGAGAAGCCUGAGGGAGUCCCAGCAGUUGGAAAGUUUUCAAAUAUAUUGAAAUUCAUUGUUAAUGAGGUUGAUCCAACUAUUGGUGAAGCAGAGGAUGAUGGUGUAGAGGACGAAUACCAACUUGAGGACCUGGAAGUGGUUGCAGCAGAUUACAUGAUGAAAGUUGGGGUCUCCAAUUUCAGGAAUGCAUGGGAAGGCAUGGGCGCUGACUUUGAGCGUGUGGAUGAAUAUGGCCUUGGCCCAAGGGAGAGCUUGGCUGAAGCUGUUAGUGCUGUCAUCAGCCUUCUUGGCAUGCAGCCCUGUGAGGGCACAGAGGUUGUCCCUAGCAAUUCAAGGUCACACUCCUGCCUACUCUCUGGUGUUUUCAUCAGCAAUGUGAGAGUUCUUGUGCGGUUGCAAUUUGGAAUUGAUGGUCCAAAGGAGGUUGCAAUGAAACUGG